rnacentral:rRNA from 2 species
GAUCAGAUCAAGCGCGAAAAGGGCGUUUGGUGGAUGCCUAGGCAGCAAGAGGCGAUGAAGGACGUGAUACCCUGCGUUAAGCCAUGGGGAGCCGGGAAUGGGCUUCGAUCCAUGGAUGUCCGAAUGGGGAAACCCACCUGAUUGUUCGUUGUUGUCCUACCGCUUCGCUACUUGAGGACUUGUCCGACAGUAGCAAGCGCGGGAUCAUCAAUGGGCAAAGACAGGUAUCAUUACCCUGAAUACAUAGGGGUUUUGAAGCGAACCCGGGGAACUGAAACAUCUAAGUACCCGGAGGAAAGGAAAUCAACAGAGACUCCGCUAGUAGUGGCGAGCGAACGCGGACCAGCCGAUCUCCGAAGAGUGACUGGAAUGGCCUGGAAAGGCCAGCCACAGCGGGUGACAGCCCCGUACAGGAAGCUCCAGGAGACAUAUCAAGUAGGGCGGGACACGUGAAAUCCUGUCUGAAGAUCGGGGGACCACCCCCGAAGGCUAAGUACUCCUUGCUGACCGAUAGCGAACCAGUACCGUGAGGGAAAGGUGAAAAGCACCCCGACGAGGGGAGUGAAACAGUACCUGAAACCGGACGCCUACAAGCAGUCGGAGGGUCCAUGAGACCUGACGGCGUACCUUUUGUAUAAUGGGUCAACGACUUGGUCUCACGAGCAAGCUUAAGCCGGUAGGUGGAGGCGCAGCGAAAGCGAGUCUUAAAAGGGCGUCGAGUUCGUGGGAUCAGACCCGAAACCAGGUGAUCUAGCCAUGAGCAGGAUGAAGUCAGGGUAACACCUGAUGGAGGUCCGAACCAACACCCGUUGAAAAGGGUCUGGAUGACUUGUGGCUAGGGGUGAAAGGCCAAUCAAACCUGGAGAUAGCUGGUUCUCCGCGAAAGCUAUUUAGGUAGCGCCUCGGACGAAUACCUCGGGGGGUAGAGCACUGCAUGGAUGAUGGGGGCCCACAGCCUUACUGAGUCUAAGCAAACUCCGAAUACCCGAGAGUACUAUCCGGGAGACACACGGCGGGUGCUAACGUCCGUCGUGAAGAGGGAAACAACCCUGACCUGCAGCUAAGGCCCCCAAUUCGUGGCUAAGUGGGAAAGCAUGUGGGACGGCCAAAACAACCAGGAGGUUGGCUUAGAAGCAGCCAUCCUUUAAAGAUAGCGUAACAGCUCACUGGUCUAGAUAAGCUGUCCUGCGGCGAAGAUGUAACGGGGCUCAAGCCACGAGCCGAAGCUCAGGAUGCACAGCAAUGUGCGUGGUAGCGGAGCGUUCCGUGAUAUAGCUCCAUGUCUCUUCAUCCCUCGGAUGCGGAGACAAGGAGCUUUCUGUGAAGCCGGGCCGUAAGGCAUCCGGUGGAGAGAUCGGAAGCGAGAAUGUUGACAUGAGUAGCGACAAACAGGGUGAGAGACCCUGUCGCCGAAAGUCCAAGGGUUCCUGCUUAAAGCUAAUCUGAGCAGGGUAAGCCGGCCCCUAAGGCGAGGCCGAAAGGCGUAGUCGAUGGGAACCAGGUUAAUAUUCCUGGGCCAGGAGGAUGUGACGGAUCGCAGGUGUAGUUCGGUCUUAUCGGAUUGACCGGGCUGCUGAGCGGUCCCUGGAAAUAGCCCUCCAUCAGACCGUACCCCAAACCGACACAGGUGGACUGGUAGAGAAUACCAAGGCGCUUGAGAGAACCACAUCAAAGGAACUCGGCAAAAUGCCUCCGUAAGUUCGCGAGAAGGAGGCCCCGUCUGUAGGCAACUAUGGGCGGGGGGCACAAACUAGGGGGUGGCGACUGUUUACUUAAAACACAGGGCUGUGCGAAGCCGCAAGGCGACGUAUACAGUCUGACGCCUGCCCGGUGCUGGAAGGUUAAAAGGAGGAGUGCAAGCUCCGAAUUGAAGCCCCAGUAAACGGCGGCCGUAACUAUAACGGUCCUAAGGUAGCGAAAUUCCUUGUCGGGUAAGUUCCGACCUGCACGAAUGGCGUAACGAUCUCCCCGCUGUCUCUGAUGUGGACUCAGCGAAAUUGAACUGUGUGUCAAGAUGCACACUUCCCGCGGUUAGACGGAAAGACCCCAUGAACCUUUACUAUAGCUUCGCACUGGCAUCAGGAUUGUGAUGUGCAGGAUAGGUGGUAGGCAUCGAAGCGGGGACGCCAGUUCCCGUGGAGCCAACCUUGAGAUACCACCCUUCGCCAUCUUGAUGUCUAACCGCGGCCCGUUAUCCGGGUCCGGGACCCUGCGUGGUGGGUAGUUUGACUGGGGCGGUCGCCUCCCAAACAGUAACGGAGGCGCGCGAUGGUGGGCUCAGACCGGUCGGAAAUCGGUCGUCGAGUGCAAUGGCAGAAGCCCGCCUGACUGCAAGACUGACAAGUCGAGCAGAGACGAAAGUCGGCCAUAGUGAUCCGGUGGUCCCGAGUGGAAGGGCCAUCGCUCAACGGAUAAAAGGUACUCUGGGGAUAACAGGCUGAUGAUGCCCAAGAGUCCAUAUCGACGGCAUCGUUUGGCACCUCGAUGUCGGCUCAUCUCAUCCUGGGGCUGGAGCAGGUCCCAAGGGUAUGGCUGUUCGCCAUUUAAAGAGGUACGUGAGCUGGGUUUAGAACGUCGUGAGACAGUUCGGUCCCUAUCUGCCGUGGGUGUAGGAGACUUGAGAAGAGUUGCCCCUAGUACGAGAGGACCGGGGUGAACGAUCCACUGGUGGACCAGUUGUCGUGCCAACGGCAGUGCUGGGUAGCUAUGAUCGGACAGGAUAACCGCUGAAGGCAUCUAAGCGGGAAGCCCCCUUCAAAACAAGGUCUCCCUUGAGGGCCGUGGAAGACCACCACGUCGAUAGGCCAGAGGUGUAAGCGCAGCAAUGCGUUCAGCUGACUGGUACUAAUUGCCCGAUAGGCUUGAUCUGACCCGG